GCCCUUUUUCUCUUUCUUAAAAUUUUAAUAUCACUAAAAUUGUUAAACAUGAAUUAAUUAGACUUUGAAUGUCUUUGAAUAGGUUUUGUUGAUUCAUGUAAUUGAAUUUUGAAGGUUCAAGGCAAUACAGGUAAACAAUCCUUACAGUUUUUAUUCUUUUUUGAAUUACCAUUUAUUGUCAAUAGUUAUGAUUAGUGAAAAUAUGAAAAUUAUAUUCAACAUUGAUGAUU
rnacentral:lncRNA from 1 species